GAUGAACGCUGGCGGCGUGCCUAACACAUGCAAGUCGAGCGAAGCGGGGACGGGUGAGUAACACGUGGAUAACCUCCUAUAAGACCGGGAUAACUUCGGGAAACCGGGGCUAAACCGGAUACUUAUAGAUGGAUCCGCGCUGCAUUAGCUAGUUGGGAAGGUAACGGCUUACCAAGUCAACGAUGCAUAGCCGACCUGAGAGGGGAGUCGGCCACGCGGGAAUUGAGACACGGUCCAGACUCCUACGGAGGGAAGGAAUAGGGAAACUUCCGCAAUGGGCGAAAGCCUGUCGGACCAACGCCGCGAGAGGGAUGAAGGUCUUCGGUACGAAAAACUCUGUUAUAAGGGAAGCGGUUCCUAAUCAGAAAGACACGGCUAACUGCGUGCCAGCAACCGCGGUAUUC
rnacentral:rRNA from 1 species